GCUANNCUGGCGGCGUGCUUACCAUGCAAGUCGAACGGUGAACACGGAGCUUGCUCUGUGGGAUCAGUGGCGAACGGGUGAGUAACACGUGAGCAACCUGCCCCUGACUCUGGGAUAAGCGCUGGAAACGGCGUCUAAUACUGGAUAUGUGACGUGACCGCAUGGUCUGCGUUUGGAAAGAUUUUUCGGUUGGGGAUGGGCUCGCGGCCUAUCAGCUUGUUGGUGAGGUAAUGGCUCACCAAGGCGUCGACGGGUAGCCGGCCUGAGAGGGUGACCGGCCACACUGGGACUGAGACACGGCCCAGACUCCUACGGGAGGCAGCAGUGGGGAAUAUUGCACAAUGGGCGAAAGCCUGAUGCAGCAACGCCGCGUGAGGGAUGACGGCCUUCGGGUUGUAAACCUCUUUUAGCAGGGAAGAAGCGAAAGUGACGGUACCUGCAGAAAAAGCGCCGGCUAACUACGUGCCAGCAGCCGCGGUAAUACGUAGGGCGCAAGCGUUAUCCGGAAUUAUUGGGCGUAAAGAGCUCGUAGGCGGUUUGUCGCGUCUGCUGUGAAAUCCCGAGGCUCAACCUCGGGCCUGCAGUGGGUACGGGCAGACUAGAGUGCGGUAGGGGAGAUUGGAAUUCCUGGUGUAGCGGUGGAAUGCGCAGAUAUCAGGAGGAACACCGAUGGCGAAGGCAGAUCUCUGGGCCGUACCUGACNCUNANGANCGAAAGGGUGGGGA
rnacentral:rRNA from 1 species